rnacentral:rRNA from 1 species
CCUACGGGAGACAGCAGUGAGGAAUAUUGGUCAAUGGACGAGAGUCUGAACCAGCCAAGUAGCGUGAAGGAUGACUGCCCUACGGGUUGUAAACUUCUUUUGUCAGGGAGCAAUUGGGUCCACGCGUUGGCUUAGCGAGAGUACCUGAAGAAAAAGCAUCGGCUAACUCCGUCCCAGCAGCCGCGGUAAUACGGGGGAUGCGAGCGUUCUCCGGAUUUAUUGGUUUUACAGGGUGCGUAGGCGGAAUAUCAAGUCAGCGGUAAAAAUUCGGGGCUCAACCCCGUCGUGCCGUUGAAACUGAUGAUCUUGAGUGGGCGAGAAGUAUGCGGAAUGCGUGGUGUAGCGGUGAAAUGCAUAGAUAUCACGCAGAACUCCGAUUGCGAAGGCAGCAUACCGGCGCCCAACUGACGCUGAGGCACGAAAGCGUGGGUAUCGAACAGGAUUAGAUACCCCGGUAGUC